rnacentral:rRNA from 1 species
UAACACAUGCAAGUCGAACGGACCCUUCGGGGUUAGUGGCGGACGGGUGAGUAACACGUGGGAACGUGCCUUUAGGUUCGGAAUAGCUCCUGGAAACGGGUGGUAAUGCCGAAUGUGCCCUUCGGGGGAAAGAUUUAUCGCCUUUAGAGCGGCCCGCGUCUGAUUAGCUAGUUGGUGAGGUAAUGGCUCACCAAGGCGACGAUCAGUAGCUGGUCUGAGAGGAUGACCAGCCACAUUGGGACUGAGACACGGCCCAAACUCCUACGGGAGGCAGCAGUGGGGAAUCUUGCGCAAUGGGCGAAAGCCUGACGCAGCCAUGCCGCGUGAAUGAUGAAGGUCUUAGGAUUGUAAAAUUCUUUCACCGGGGACGAUAAUGACGGUACCCGGAGAAGAAGCCCCGGCUAACUACGUGCCAGCAGCCGCGGUAAUACG